UCUUCUCCCACCCCCUCCCCAACCCCAAAUCAUUGCUGCCACUACGUACAUAUGCAAUAAAAGAUCACCUAAGAUAGAGGGGUCCAACUCUUUUUUUAUCUUUUUGUUUUCUGUUACACAGAAGAAGAUGCCACAUUGUAAUAAAAGAAGAAAAAGCUGCAGUCUUUGAAGAAUAGAAUAAUAAUAAUAGAAGCUUUCCGAGAACUUGUUCAACUCCAAUUUAAAGGGUAUUAUUCAAAUCAAUAAUAUAUCUGAAAUUCAGGAAGCUAUAAAUGUGGAUCUAUCAUCGUUAAAGAAUAAAG
rnacentral:lncRNA from 1 species